ACCAAUUCGAAUCCGAACCCGAUAGUAGAAACCCCUUUUUGUUAUUAUAAGUCUAAAAGCCCUCUCUAACCCUAGAAGCCGGUAAUCGUUUGUUUACCUUCUUCGCACCUUUGCGUAUUUCAUUCCACCAGCGGCGGAUCUUCGCGUCCACGGCAUUCCGAUCCAGCGAGAGAGCACAAAAGACUACCAGCGAAGAAGUUAUUUGUCUGUCUCAGGGGCAAUAUGGCGACCACCGUGAAGAACAGCUCCAGCGGGCGGAGCGACGAGGCCUUGCGCCGUAUCCACCAAAAUUGGAUGAGGAGGUAUGAUCGCAAGUAUGCUGAUGAGGAGGAGGAGGAGCAACGCUUCAAAAUUUUCAAAGCGACAUUUGAGGAGAUUGAGAAACAUAAUACAGAGGAGGAGACUUGCCUUAUCUAUCUAAGCCCCUAUUCAGAUCUUACUGAUGAGGAGUUCUUCGCGUUGCGUUCAAAUUUACAGGGAGAGCUGCGGGAGGAAAUGCUGGAUGAUAUCAGUUUACGCGAUUUUAUGCGACCGAAGGUCUGUGAUGCCUGUCGCAGGCGUCUGUGUUGCAAGUAGUAGAUGGGAUCUCUAGAGAAAAUGGUAUCUCUAGAGAAAAGGGGGCAGUGUUAUAUUCCUAGUGGGUAGUUUGGUAGUCUGUCUAGAGUACUACUUGUUAUGCUACUUCUUUGUAUCUUUUCUUUCUCCGUUUUUAGGAAGGGUCUCUGUUGGGUCUCUUUUAUUUUUUUUUUCUUGGAUAGUAAAGGAACUUUUAUUCUUAUGAAUAGCGUCCUGUCAUGUUAAUUUAGUUUCCAUGGACUAAUAGUGUCAUUGUUCUUGUGCUUAAGCACUGCCUAAACAUAUUACCUAUCAAUGGUAUAACUGGUUUUGUAGUUAUAUA